rnacentral:misc_RNA from 1 species
UCCCCGUUAUCCUGGGCAGUCCUUCCAGAGUUCCCGGCAUGACCCGUUGGCAACUGAAGAUGGGGGUUGCGCUCGUUGCGGGACUUAACCCAACAUCUCACGACACGAGCUGUCGACAGCCAUGCAGCACCUGUGUUCCGGCCAGCCGAACUGAAGGACCGCGUCUCCACGGCCCACACCGGACAUGUCAAGGGCUGGUAAGGUUCUUCGCGUUGCGUCGAAUUAAACCACAUGCUCCACCGCUUGUGCGGGCCCCCGUCAAUUCCUUUAAGUUUUAAUCUUGCGACCGUACUCCCCAGGCGGAUGACUUCACGCGUUAGCUGCGUUACUAAGGGAUUUAACUCCCCCAACAACUAGUCAUCAUCGUUUAGGGCGUGGACUAC